GAUGAACGCUGGCGGCGUGCCUAAUACAUGCAAGUCGAGCGAACAGACGAGGAGCUUGCUCCUCUGACGUUAGCGGCGGACGGGGGAGUAACACGUGGAUAACCUACCUAUAAGACUGGGAUAACUUCGGGAAACCGGAGCUAAUACCGGAUAAUAUAUUGAACCGCAUGGUUCAAUAGUGAAAGACGGUUUUGCUGUCACUUAUAGAUGGAUCCGCGCCGCAUUAGCUAGUUGGUAAGGUAACGGCUUACCAAGGCAACGAUGCGUAGCCGACCUGAGAGGGUGAUCGGCCACACUGGAACUGAGACACGGUCCAGACUCCUACGGGAGGCAGCAGUAGGGAAUCUUCCGCAAUGGGCGAAAGCUUGACGGAGCAACGCCGCGUGGGUGAUGAAGGUCUUCGGAUCGUAAAACUCUGUUAUUAGGGAAGAACAAAUGUGUAAGUAACUAUGCACGUCUUGACGGUACCUAAUCAGAAAGCCACGGCUAACUACGUG
rnacentral:rRNA from 1 species